UUUUUCCUGCCACCGAAUACAUUAGCAUGGGAUAAUGGAAUAGGACCCUGACCUCCUAUUUUCAGUUGGUUUUGUUUAUACAGUGAGGUUCAUCAGGGUAAUGAUUAAUAGGGAUAGUUGGGGGCAUUAAUAUUUAAUUGUCAGAGGUGAAAUUCUUGGAUUUAUGAAAGAUUAACUUCUGCGAAAGCGUUUGCCAAGGAUGUUUUCAUUAAUCAAGAACGAAAGUUAGGGGAUCGAAGACGAUCAGAUACCGUCGUAGUCUUAACCAUAAACGAUGCCGACCAGCGAUUAGGAGACGUUGAAUACAAAAC
rnacentral:rRNA from 1 species